UACAGCCAUAUCAUGUUGAAACAUUGAUUCCCAUAUGAUCACCAAAGCUAAGCAAUGCCAAGCCUGGCUAGUACCUAGAUGGGUGACCACUUAGGAAUACCAGGUGCUGUAA